rnacentral:rRNA from 1 species
CUCCGCUAGGCCUGCCCUUCUUGGAUGGGACGAGACUGCGGGAAUACUUCUUAAGGGGACUGUAUGCGUUUAUAGCAUGCGGAAGAGCGAGCCAAUAGCAGGUCUGUGAUGCUCCUAAAUGUCCUAGGCUGCACGCGCACUACACUGAUGCAAUAAACGAGUCUGAGUGCCUCCGGGCAACCUACCUGGAAGCGGGUGGGAAAUCUUUUGAACUUGCAUCGUGAUGAGGAUCGACGAUUGCAAUUAUUCUCCUUGAAUGAGGAAUGCCUAGUAGGCACAAGUCAUCAGCUUGUACUGAUUACGUCCCUGCCAUUUGUACACACCGCCCGUCGUUGCUACUGAUUGGCUGUAGGGUAGAGAUCAGCGGAUUGUGAGCUGUCGAAGGCAACUUCUUCAGUUCGUGAGAAACUCAUCAAUAUUCUGCAGCUAGAAGAAGCAAAAGUCGUAACAAGGUUUCCGUAGGUAAGGGCGAAUUCCACAGUGGAUAUCAAGCU